rnacentral:rRNA from 1 species
UGGGGAAUUUUGGACAAUGGGGGAAACCCUGAUCCAGCCAUCCCGCGUGUGCGAUGAAGGCCUUCGGGUUGUAAAGCACUUUUGGCAGGAAAGAAACGUCAUGGGUUAAUACCCCGUGAAACUGACGGUACCUGCAGAAUAAGCACCGGCUAACUACGUGCCAGCAGCCGCGGUAAUACGUAGGGUGCAAGCGUUAAUCGGAAUUACUGGGCGUAAAGCGUGCGCAGGCGGUUCGGAAAGAAAGAUGUGAAAUCCCAGAGCUCAACUUUGGAACUGCUUUUUUAACUACCGGGCUAGAGUGUGUCAGGGGGAGGUGGAAUUCCGCGUGUAGAAGUGAAAUGCGUGGGUAUGCGGGGGAACACCGAUGGCGAAGGCAGCCUCCUGGAAUAACACUGACGCUCAGGCACGAAAGCGUGGGGAGCAAACAGG